GACGAACGCUGGCGGCGUGCUUAACACAUGCAAGUCGAACGGAAAGGCCCUGCUUUUGUGGGGUGCUCGAGCGGCGAACGGGUGAGUAACACGUGAGUAACCUGCCCUUGACUUUGGGAUAACUUCAGGAAACUGGGGCUAAUACCGGAUAGGAGCUCCUGCUGCAUGGUGGGGGUUGGAAAGUUUCGGCGGUUGGGGAUGGACUCGCGGCUUAUCAGCUUGUUGGUGGGGUAGUGGCUUACCAAGGCUUUGACGGGUAGCCGGCCUGAGAGGGUGACCGGCCACAUUGGGACUGAGAUACGGCCCAGACUCCUACGGGAGGCAGCAGUGGGGAAUAUUGCACAGUGGGCGGAAGCCUGAUGCAGCAACGCCGCGUGCGGGAUGACGGCCUUCGGGUUGUAAACCGCUUUCGCCUGUGACGAAGCGUGAGUGACGGUAAUGGGUAAAGAAGCACCGGCUAACUACGUG
rnacentral:rRNA from 1 species